AUAAAAUUAUGAAGUUCAUCAAAUACGUCUUACUUUUACUGCAUACCUAAUCAGAAUACUAUAACCUAUGUGUAGACUUAAGCUUCACCAUAGGGCUUCUUGUAUGAACUCGUGUGUUAAUAAUCUUUCUCUUCUUUGUAUAUAUAUUAGUACGGACCGCCGCUCCUAUGGCAUAAGCCUUGGCAUUGUCUCUCGUCUCCUAUCUUUCUAACAUAUCCUAAAAUUAGAUGCAUCCAUAAUAAAUUUACAAGAACUUAGUGAGGUAUUAUCUUACAUUUAUUCAUCAUUUCACAUUAAAUAUAAACAAUGCACUUUACUCUAUGAACCCAAAAAGGUAUUCAUCAAACUCAGCAAGAACAUGUAUUAAAUCUUUACAUACCUUGUACUCCUUCAUAUUUUGUAAACAUUCUUAUCUCAGUCGUUAUCGCAUGACUUACUUACGGGUUGUACUAGUAACUUACUUUCCUUUUCACCUUCCUACUGAUGGUUAAGGCAAAUUUCGUCCGCUUCCCAUUAUCAUGCAUUUCUUGCCAUUCUUUCAUUGUCACAAAUUGGACAAUUGCGCUUUAUUCGGAGUUCACCACUUUGGCGUUGCCAUUAAAUCUUUGUCUCGAGGUCAAUUCAUAGACUGCGCCAUUAAGGCGUACUCUUAACUUCAGUUGUCUUCCCUUGUUUUUGGAAACUUCAGACACUCGCUUGAUCAACAGAUAGCCAUAAAGGCGACCAUACACCAUUAGAUAGCCAUAAAGGCGUCCAUAUAUCAUUAGAUAGCUACAAAUACAUCUAGACAUCAUACACUAAACUUCGCCACGAAAGCGAUUUCAACAAAAUCAGCCACAAAAGCUCACAUGUAAUAGAGAACAGCCACAAAGGCUUCCACAUAUAACAUAUCCUGCCACUAAGGCUCACAUAUAGCAUAUUUCGCCACAAGGGCUCACAUAUAACAUAGAAUAGCCACAAAGGCUUCCAUAUAUUAGAGAACAGCCACAAAGGCUUCCAUUUUUUGGUAAAUGGCAUUUUUGAUGAUAGAGAUUUUUCUAAACUCAACAUUUUGAGGUUUGCCCCUCAUCGCCUAGUACUUGCCCAACCAUCUUUUAUCUUGUCCCCACAUGAUACCAUUGUCCUAGACUAAGUCUUACACUAUGUGUUUCUCUUAUCUUCAUAUGAUGGUAUAGCCACCAUGACUAGGUCUUACACUAUAUGGUAUUCUUGCCAUGACCAUGGACUUUCAUUUUAGAAUUCGUGUUUAUUGUCCCAAUGGACUUCUAUGCAAGCAGACUCAACAUGCAGACUUAUGCGACUCAUGCAACUUAUGCACAAGCUUUCAUGUAGAGACUUAUUGAUGCAAAGACUUAGUCAUGCAAAGACUCUAUCAUGCUUCAGACGUGUUUAUGCAUGUACAUACUUUUCAACAUAACAGAGACUUAUCAUUCAACUCAUGUUUUCUUGCAUAUUUAUCGUUUUCAUACUUUUCUUUUUUGUAGCAGAGGCGCAUUGUCAUUUAGGCAUUAAGCCACACAUACAAGUUUAUUAGAUACACAUUUUCAUAGAAUUAACAUAUCACACAUACAUAGCUCACGUUUUGUUUCACAGAUCAAACUUUUAACACAGAAGAAAUAAGCAUAUAAACAUACAAACAUACAUAUACACACAAAGAGAUCAGUUAGAGAUUCGCGAGGUACUCACAGUACCCUCACGAUAUCCUCACAUAAUUCUCACCCUUUUCCUCACAUUUUGUAGCUUCAAACAUCAGAUCUGGGUUUCUUUCGAGUAGAUCAACAACCUCUAAAUGUUAAACCAUACAAAAAUCAUCAAGAUUUGCUCAUUUAACUCAUUUUUUCCUUUUUAUCUCAAACACUAAAAUCACAUAGCAAAUCUCUACCAAGCUUGCUUUACCAAGUUAAACAGAUCUGCUCUCCAACAACUUAGCAUGCAAAGUCGAGAAACUUACCUUACAAGGGGCAUCUCAGAGCUAAUCCUUUC
rnacentral:lncRNA from 1 species